CUCUGCUCUCUUGGCGUCCCAGGAGUUUAGUUACCCACCAAAACACGAAACUCAAAACACACAACACAAAACCCAAAGCUCUCUCAAUAGAAGACAGAACGAGACGUCGUCUCUGCACCACCAGGUUCCUCCAUUCGCUCUCUUGCCUCUUCCUCUCCAUUUCCGCGUCCUCCUAAGGUCUUGCGUUACAAGUUCGUCAAAUUAGGGUUUAUCCAUUGUUCUUAUUGCUUAUUAACUGCGAAGCUACUAGCGAUCUACUUUUAGACUGUAUAAGCUGUAGAGUAUGGGAGAUAGUGAGACAGUAGUAACUGAACCGUCGGCAGUCAUGGAUUAUCCGGCAGCUGGGUAUGCGUCUACUGGCUACGCUGAUUCUGGUUCAGUUGUUGUUCCUGGCCCUGGUGAUUUUAAUGUGGAGGGCACUGGAAAUUUUGCUGCUUCUACUGUUGCAGCACAGGGAGGUCAUACGGGAAAUACGUAUGGUGCGGACUCUAGUUCUGUUGUACCAGAGGCUCGUGUUGGAAUGAACAGUAGUGCUGAAAACGCAGCUGCUGGUGGUUAUGAUUCGGCUGUGAAUGGAAAUGUUGGAACUGAAGCUGGAGUUGCUGUAUCAGUUGAGAAUGGAAAUGCUGGAGAGGUUUUGGGUGGAGCUGCUGCUGAGCAGCAUUUUGUGGAUGGUUCUGUGCCAGAAAUGUCAGCUGAAGAGGACCACCUGUGGAGCAUUGUGAAGGCUAAUUCUUUGGAUUUUGAUGCAUGGACUGCCUUAAUAGAUGAGACAGAGAAGGUGGCUGGGGACAGGAUAUUGAAAAUUCGAAAAGUAUAUGAUGCUUUUUUGGUGGAAUUUCCUUUGUGUUAUGGUUAUUGGAAGAAGUAUGCAGAUCAUGAAGCACGCCUUGGUUUUAUGGACAAAGUUGUUGAGGUAUAUGAACGGGCUGUUCUUGGGGUCACAUAUUCGGUGGACAUUUGGUUGCAUUAUUGCAUGUUUGCCAUAUCCACAUAUGGAGAUCCAGAGACUGUUAGAAGGCUUUUUGAGCGAGGAUUAGCUUAUGCUGGAACAGAUUAUAUGUCUUAUCCCCUCUGGGAUAAGUACAUUGAAUACGAAGAGGUGCAUGCAGAGUGGGGCCGUGUUGCCAUGAUAUACACACGGAUAUUGGAGAUUCCUAACAGAAAGCUGGAUGAUUAUUUCAAUAGAUUUAAGGCUUUUGCUGCAAGCCGGCCUUUGUCAGAAUUAAAGACUGCUGAGGAAGCUGCUGCUGUAGCACCUGUACUUUCGGAGGAUAGAAGCCAAGCAGACGAGGGAGAGGUUCAUCCUGAUGCAGCUGAACAGCCUUCUAAACCUGUAAAUGCUGGCUUAACAGAAGCAGAGGAGUUGGAGAAGUAUAUCGCCAUUAGAGAGGAAAUAUACAAGAAAGCUAAAGAGUUCGAUAAUAAGAUCUUUGACUUUGAAAAUGCUAUUAGGAGGCCCUACUUUCAUGUGCGGCCCCUUAAUGUUGCAGAGCUCGAAAACUGGCAUAACUAUCUGGAUGAUAUAGAAAGAGAGGAUGACUUUAAUAAGGUGGUCAAGCUAUAUGAAAGAUGUGUAAUUGCAUGUGCUAAUUAUACCGAGUAUUGGAUACGCUAUGUCUUGUGCAUGGAAGCCACUGGGAACAUGGAUCUUGCAAAUAAUGCUCUUGCUCGUGCAACUCAAGUAUUUGUCAAGAGACAACCAGAGAUUCACAUUUUUGCUGCCCGUCUCAAAGAGCAAAAUGGAGAUGUAUCUGGUGCUCGAGCUGCUUACCAAGUUGUACAUGCUGAAAUUGCACCUGGUCUUCUUGAAGCAAUUAUUAAGCAUGCAAACAUGGAGCAUCGAUUGGGGAAUCUUGAAGAUGCCUUCUCCUUGUAUGAACAGGCCAUAGCCAUUGAAAAGGGAAAAGAGCAUUCACAAGUGUUGCCAGCAUUGUAUGCACAAUAUGCUCGAUUCGUAUAUUUGGCAUCAAACAAUGUAGAGAAAGCCAGGGAGAUUCUAUUAGAAGGACUUGAGAAUGCCCAAUAUUCAAAACCACUUCUCGAGGCUCUGAUACAUUUUGAGACAUUUCUGCCACUUCCAAAGCGAAUUGAUUAUCUUGAUUCACUGGUAGAUAAGUUCAUUUUGCCCAGCUCAGACAGCGUCAAUGCUGCUAGUGCUGCUGAGAGGGAAGAACUAUCCUGCAUUUUCUUGGAGUUUUUAGGUAUAUUUGGAGAUGCUCAAUCUAUAAAGAAGGCUGCUGAUCGGCAUGCCAAGUUCUUCUUACCCCACAGGAGCAAGUCAGAGUUGAAAAAGCGCCACGCGGAGGAUUACCUAGCUUCAGACAAGGCAAAAAUGGCCAAACCUUACCCUGAUGCAACUUCACCUGCACAGUCUCUGAUGGGUGCAUAUGCAAGUGCACAGAACCAAUGGACAGCUGGUUAUGGUGUACAGCCUCAAGCUUGGCCACCGGCUACCCAAGUACAGACUCAACAGUGGGCUCCAGGCUAUAACCAACAAGCUGCAUAUGGCGCAUAUAGUGGUUAUGGAGGCAGCUACCCGAAUCCCCAAGCUCCUACAUCAGUUGCACAAGGUGCAGCUUAUGGUGGCUAUCCUCCUACCUAUCCUGCCCAGUAACUUCGAUCUGGACUUUGAAGGUCAUUUGCGUUAUGUUGCUGCCUUUUCGGCAUGGAUUCACGUUCAACUUUAAUAGUCCAGACAAAUUGACAUCGUCUACCUUCAAGUUUCUUUGCAAGUGUCAUAUCCUGUGUCAUUGAACUUUGUUUACGUUCUCAACGGGCCUGGCAGGCCUUCCCUCAACAAAGUUAUGCACAACCCACAGCUGCGGCACCAUUGACUCAGCCUCAGCAGCCCGCUGCUGCUCCACAACCUUACUACGGGACUUACUACUGAUCUGGCAGGAACUUCCUGCGUGUAAUUUAUCUUUGCCGAAUCUAUUUGUAACUUGGGGUUUUUUCCCGGAACCACAGACAGCAUGGUGUAAGCAAGAAUGCACACAAGGGAGAGGAAGAUGAGAGAGUAAACUUGUAGGUGCAAUGGUAGCAGUUGUUCUUCAGUGAAUGAUUAAAUCUUUUGCCAUUCUUAGGCAUUCUUUAGUAGAUUCUGCUUCUUACGUUCUUGGUUCA